AUGCUCUUCAUGAAGAGUUUGGGCUUCCCUGGUGGUGCUGUGGUAAAGAAUCCACCUGCCAAUGUAGGAGACGCAAGUUUGAUCUCUGGAUUGGGAAGGAAAUGGCAACCCACUCCAGUAUUCUUGCCUGGGAAAUCCCAUGGACUGAGGAGCCUGGAGGGCUGCAGUCUAUGGGUCAGACACGACUUAGCAACUAAACAACAGCAACAAAGUGGAAAAUUUAAUUUCACGCAGGUUAAUGGAUUUUCCAAGGCACCUUGA
rnacentral:lncRNA from 1 species